rnacentral:rRNA from 1 species
ACUCCUACGGGAGGCAGCAGUUAGGAAUUUUGNGCAAUGGGCGAAAGCCUGACCCAGCAACNCCGCGUGUGGGAUGAAGGCCCUCGGGUUGUAAACCNCUUUUAUCGGGGAAGAAUACUGACGGUACCCGUUGAAUAAGCCCCGGCUAACUCC